UGGCGUAGAAAGUGCUCCACCGUUUAUUUGUAAACCCUGUGGAGGUAACUGCAGUUUUACGAGCAGUUUAGGAAUGAAUCUGACGAGAUCUAGUCCGUCCUUUACACUUUAGGACGUGAUGGGGUGUCUGAAUGCCCACCUCUUUGAGUUACACCACACCCCCAUUUGGAUCUGACUGACUGGAAAAAAAACAUCUAAAAAUGGAUAGAUUGAGGAUAACCUUUGCACCACUGAAUCAAGAUUACAGACUGUAUUAAUAAAGUCCACGAUCACCAUGGCUUAAAGUCAAGGCUAUACUUUUGACUAACACUGUGACGGUGAACCUUCUUUCCAACUUUUGUUUCAGUCAUCGCCAUCAGAUUCUUUAAAGGGGAACUUUUUUCAGAACUGAGAAAACGUGAGACAUUUAUUUCUUUAUUAGCGUGUCCCUGCGGCAAUUCGUUACAGCAGAUACAAACAGCAUUCUUUUUUUUUUCCCCUCUCCUGAAGUUCUGCUUUAUGUCAGACUGUUAUGAAGAGCCGACAUCGAAGUGUUUAACUAUGGCUCUGGCCCGUCGAAGCACGGACUCCACGAGACCUCUGAAGGUGUGCUGUGGUAUCUGGCACCAAGACGUUAGCAGCUGAUCCUUUAAAUCCUGUAAGUUGCGAGGUGGGGCCUCCAUGGAUCGGACUUGUUUGUCCGGUGCAUCCGACAGACGCUCAGUCGGACUGAGAUCUGGGGAAUUUGGAGGCCAGGACCCGAGGUUUCCUGGCAGAACAUUACCCAGAGCAUCACACUGCCUCUGCUGGCUUGCUUUCUUCCCAUAGUUUAUCCUGCUGCCAUCUCUUCCCAAAGUAAGUGACGCACACGCACCUGGCCAUCCAUGUGAUGUAAAAGAAAAAACGUGAGUGAUCAGACUAGACCACCUUCUGGACACUGGUUUUAAUGUUAUAGCUGAUUGGUGUAUGUGAUUAGUGGAGAUGAAAACCGGGAUAAUUAUUGGUAAGCUGUGACACCCGGUGGCCGUCUUUGAUACAGCAACUACUUUAGAAUAUAAUAAAAUCUUCCAAAUCAUUUGUACAAACUGGAAUACUCUGGAUACAGUAUUUAAAUGAUGUAAAUAACAGUAUUAAACAACAACAUAGGACAUUUUCCAUUAUACAUGAAUUUAUAUAAGUAACCCGUAGGGGUCAGCAAAGUCCACUUUAACAACAAAACUAACUAAAACAAGAAUAGUUAUGCCCGGCGAUAUUAGCCGAUGAAGCCUGGUCAGUCCCUAUGAUAAUCUAUUGCUCAGGUCAGUGUUGGUAUUUGAAAAGAAAUCAACUCUGCAUUUAAUUAUUUUUGUCGUCACUUUUUGUGCAAGAAAAAGAAACCCUCACAUUGCAAACAGCAUGGUAAAAGAGGGGUGUCAAGUACACGUCCCGAUCAAGAUUGUAAUCCAGCCCAAGAACAGAAUUUAGAACAGAAAUGACUGUAAUUGAAUCGAAAGAUUUAAUAUAUUUUAUUUAUAUAGGCUUUUCUCCCACCAAAGGUCAGAGAAACACAGAACACAGAAACAAUGUGCUAACAAUAUGUAAUUCUUCAAAAAUUAUGACAUAUAAUCCCAAUUAAAUCUGUUUCAUAUUAAUUCAAGGGAUUGGCACCCUGUCCAGGGUGUACCCCGCCUUGUGCCGGAUGUUCCCUGGGAUAGGCUCCAGGUUCACCGUGACCCUAUAGGAUAGGCGGUAUAGAAGAGGAAGGAUGUAUAAAGUUCAAGGGGGUUGAAUACUUAUGCAAGACAAUCUUCUUAAUCUGUUUUGUAGGUAAUAUAGGUUCAAUAAAUGUGUGGGGGUUUUUUGUUCCACUUGAUAUUAGUAAGUGUAACGUGACACAUUAUCUAUAAUGUGUUUCACACUCCUGUUAAUCCAGGUGGCUACCUAGAACAAGAAUUACGCAUUGGGAAAGUUUUUAGCCCAGUCCCAGUUGUACCGACUGCCCCAAUUCGGAAUCCGUGAUUAGCAUUCAGGUUGGAUACACGGGCGAAGUAGCAGGUGCUCCAGCAGUAGUCAGACACUUGGCCUUGGUGCUGCUAAAGAAGCCCUCUCACACCUUCGCCAGGCUUCGGCUUUGAAUUGCUGGAAAUCAAGCGGCUUGUAACACAAACGCCAGUGGGGUAUCACGGGCGCGAGAGUGAAAAGAAUCUGUGUUAAUGUGCUCGGCCAUCACACAGUGGAACAUAUUGCUUACAACCAGCACAAUGACUCCAGGGUGACUUAGGUUACGCGUUCCUGCCAAGCGGCGGAGUGUUACAGUGAGAGCGCAAGGCGCCGUCCUGAGAUAAGAAGAGGUGGAAUAGUGGACGAGUCUCAGAUUUCAGCCGUCAUCCAAAGGAUGCUGAUGGACGUGCUUGAAUGAGGCUUUUGAGGCGCAAUUCCACCUUAAUUAAAGUGGUCAGACAGUUUUGCAGUGGCCUGAGAGAA